UACGUAGGGGGCUAGCGUUGUCCGGAAUCAUUGGGCGUAAAGCGCGCGUAGGCGGCCCGGUAAGUCCGCUGUAAAAGUCAAAGGCUCAACCUUUGAAUGUCAGUGGAUACUGCCGGGCUAGAGUCCGGAAGAGGCGAGUGGAACUCCUGGUGUAGCGGUGGAAUGCGCAGAUAUCGGGAGGAACACCGGUGGCGAAGGCGGCGACCUGGGUAGAUACUGACGCUGAGGUGCGAAAGCGUGGGGAGCAAACAGG
rnacentral:rRNA from 1 species